UGGGGGAAGGGCACUUACAUUUUAAGCUACUCAGUAAUGCAGUACACUGUGCACCAAGUUGGAGAAUUCUAUGGAUAUCAUGCCUAGAGAGUCAAAAAGCAUUUGCAGGCCAGAGAAGUAGCAGGCUCCUCAGGGAGGUGCUGGGUAACCAAGAUUCUAAUCCUGGGAUAACUCAUCUGGGGCCAUUUUCCUGAUGGUGAUUAAAUGCAUGGCCUCUAAUUAUUGUUGCUUCUCUUAUUGGAAUAUGGGGUCUGUAAGCCACCCCCUUGAAUUUGUAAUGAACAGAAUACAAUGGAAGUGGCACUGUGUGACUUCUCAAAAAGAGGUGGAAGAAGGCCAUGCAGUUUCCACCUGGUUCUCUUGGGAUGUUCUUGUGAGAGGAAAGCCAGAUGCCCCAUAAAAAGUCCAGGUCCCCAAAGUCCCCCAUGAUGGAGAGGCCAUGUGAUACCUCAGCUUUGUGAGUGAACUUCCCUGGAUAUUUAGCCCAAUUCAGCCCUCAGUGGAUUGCAGCUCCAGCCAACGCUGACUACAACAGCAUGAAAAACCCAACCAAAAAUAACUUAACCCUUUCUUGAAUAGCUGACCCACAAAACUGUGAGCAAAAUUAAUGAUGUUUUAAGCUGCUGAGUUUGGGAGUAAUUUAUUUGUGUCAAUAGUCAACAGAUACCUCUCAGCCCCAAAGAAAGUCACCUGGAAGUGUAGCCUAUUUAUAUUAGGGCAGGCUGCACCUUUCAUUUCUCACAUAACCUUAAAUUCCUCAGGGUCCACGGUGUGGCUCAAAGAGGUAACUUAUAUGAAAGCACUUUGUACACCAAAACUGUAAAUAUCAUCAUAAGUAUGCAAGAGAAAAUGAAACACCAUAUAAAAGCAAGUUGUCAUCAUUAUUAUAAUUGUUGAAGUUUUCAACUAGCAAACUUGGAAAGAUACUUUUAAUUUGAUGCCCAAUUAACAGCAAAUCUGAUGAAGAGAGAUGGAAAGUAUGCCUGUUGUUGGCAGCAUGGCAGAACUUAAGCUGUCUUCUUCAUCAUUCUCUUUCUACCCCCUGCCCCUGUCUUUUUUAAUUAGCCUCACUGUCUCUUCUCACUUGUCUGCCUCUCCCUCAGAAUGCCAGUCUCCAUGCCCUAUUUCCUCUGAUUCCUUUGCUUCAAUUCCCCAGGGAAUUGAAGAAGUGAGCUGGGUCCCUUUGCUGGUGAAACUGGCCUAUGCUCAAUCAGAUGAGCAAAAAGGACCAGGAGGACCCAGGUCCCACUUGGUAAUAUCAUGAAACAGUUCUCCUUCUGAGGAAGCUUCUACUGGGAUCAUUAUCUAAGUGAUUAGGGGUUUCCACUCAAUUUGCAGGCUUACUAUUUGCUAUGUGUGCCUCAAAGCACCAGGCGGCAGAGGAACUAAUUAGUACUUAAUAGCCAGCAAUGAAAUCUAAAGAAGGAAGAAAGUAGAAAGACAAUCCCCUCAUUAUUUCAACUUUUCCUACACUGGGCCCAAU
rnacentral:lncRNA from 1 species